UAUUAUUUAAUUAAAACUAUAGGCAAACAAGCCACCACGUGCGUCCACAUAGAUUAAAUUAUCUUGAUCCUUAAUUUUAUGUAUUAACGGCUGAGAUUGAAAGAUGCAAGCGUUACGUAAGAAUAUAAUACAUGUACAAAAUAGUAGAACAUGUCACGUAGAAGUAGUCCACAUAGGUUCCAAAGCACGCGUCUACAACUAGCCCGUACAAAAAGAACUUCCCAUCGAUGGGUCAAUGGUAAGGAAAAAAAUAUUAGUCAAACCUAAAAGAUAUAAGGAACCUAAUAUUAAACGUAUAAGGACAACUCCCUCACGUGAGGAAAGUUCCAGGAACUAAUACAAACAAACAAAACAAGUUUGAUUAGCACACGGUGUGGGCAUCUGAUUUCCAGCCGGUCCCGGCCACCACAAACCAAGACACCUAAACCCAUAUAUAAAUAAGUACACACGGCUGCAAAAGUACCCAUCAAACAAUUACAAGCCAACGACCACGGCGACUUGAACAUGCCACAUGCAACUCAACGUCCAGACGAAAAGCCACGUCCAGCCGCUUCACUCGACGCCCCACAAAGUCACGCGUAAGCACGCUCGACGCCCGACGAAGCGACAUUGGAAGAAUUGGCGCAAAAUCACUUCUGACCUGAUUCAUCAGAUUUGGUAAUUGUUAUUUCACAAGCUUACUUUUUAUGUGCAGAAUCUUCAUAAAUACUAUAUCAAUUGAUAAACUGUUCCCUGUUAAUUUUGAAGACAUAAGAAUAUGGCAUACAAGAAGUUGAGCGACUUAACUACAAGAGGACAGAAUUGGAAUAUUCAAGUGAAAGUAAUGAGAAUUUGGGAUUCAGUGAAUCCUACGACCGAUGAGCUUAUUAGCAUAGAUAUGAUACUGAUGGAUGAGCAGGUUUGUUUUCUAAUAUAUUAAAUUAGAAUUUUUCUGUCAUAUGAAGCAAAUUACUAACCAUAUUUGAUUCUUUUAACAGGGUGAAACAAUCCAUGCUACUAUCUGGAAGAAUCUUAUAGACACAUUUAGAUCAAAGAUCAAUGAAAAAUCUAUUUAUGCAUUCAGAAAUUUUAAGGUCGUGGAAUCCACAAAAUAUAGGCCAGUGAGCAAUGAAAUUAAAAUAUUUUUUGCAUACAAUACAAAGGUAAAGGAAAUAAAAGGAUCUUCGAAAGUUCUCCCAGAUUAUUGCUUCGAGUUUGCUACCAUGGACACACUAGAAGAAAGGGCCGAAAAAGAUACACAAUGCUCAGGUAUGUUUAUAGUUGUAAUUAUGACCUCCAAAUAAUUGAUAUUUCUAAUUUUUAUAUCACUAAUCUCCAAAUAUGCAGAUGUCAUUGGACUACUAACUCAAAUGAAGCCAGUGGAGACAAGAAUAACAAAAAGGAACCCACAACCUUCAUAUAUCCGUGAGAUUGAAAUCCUAAUGCCAGAGUAAGUGUAUAUGCAUAUGCAUGUCUGAAAUUUAACUAAACUUCCCCCAUGUGGUUAGCACUAACUUCUCAGAUUAAAUUCUUUAGGGGUGAUAAAAUCAGAAUCACGCUAUGGGGAAAGUUUGCUUAUUUUCUAACCGAGGAUGUAAUCGGCAGCCAAACUGUCCUUAUUAUCACAUCAACGGUGGUGCAGAGAUUCAAUGGUAAGUGCAUAGAUCUUACAUGCUAUUCUUAUCAUUUACAAAUUCUAAUUGAUUGAUUAAAUAGGUUUGUGCCUAAAGUCAACGAGUGCCACAAGAAUAUAUAUUGAUCUGGAUAUACCAGAAACACAAGAACUUCUUGAUAGGUAUGAAACACCUCCAGUUUAUUUUUUUCACUCAUAAUUAGUGAGUCAGGUUGAUUCAAGAUUUAUAUUCUUAUCUACUUCAUACAUGUGCAGGGACUCAACAGAAAAAACCUUACCAAGAUGAUCAGUAUAGAUAGAAGUAAUCAAGGAACACUAGAAGAACAGAUGUUUUAUAAGAGGAUAACAUUACAAGAACUUACUACAAUGAGGCACGGAAACCAGUCAGACCAGGUAAUGCAUCAGAAUUCCAAUAAAUGAUACUAUCAAUCUCUGUGAUACGAGAUAAGACCUGCAUGGACAAUUCAUUUAAUAUUGGUUACAAUGAAACCACACUGUGCUUAUUUAUGCCUCUUAAUCCCACACACCACUCAAAUGCUAACACUAUUUUUUUCAGGAUUUUGUAUUCACAGCAAUAGCUACAGUAGAUCGUUUGCAAGAAAAUAUUCAAUGGUGGUACAUGUCAUGUGACAAGUGCCACAAAUUGGCUACCAAGGAAACCGAAAAUUAUUAUUGCAAGAGUUGUGGUAUAUAUCCAGAAAAGGUCACACCUCGGUAAGCAUAUUAUAUUACUAAAAUAUGAACAAGAACUGUUAUAUUAUAUUUACUCCCUACUAACACGAAUCGUAUGUUAGGUAUCGUGUUCGACUCCAAAUUAGUGACCAUACAUCUACUACAAGUUGCACUUUAUUUGACGAGGAGGCUGCAAGAUUGCUUAAUACAUCUGCAUCUAAGUUGCUGGACACACAAGAUGGGAAAUCAGAAGAAGUGCCAAAGAUUAUUCAACAAUUAUGUGGAAGAAGACUUAUAUUUAGAUUCAAGCUCAAUGAUAAUAAUCUCACAUUUGGCACACAAAACUAUGCAGUAAAAAGAACAUUUGUGCCCGAUGAUAGGCUUGAGAUGCUCUAUUUGGACAAUAAAGCCGAGGAGGUAAAGCUACAUUAACUUUUUACCAUCUUCGAACUUCCUUAACUAAUCCAUCUUAUAUAUGUUUUGCAGGAAUUGAUGGAUGAUGAGGUGGACACCGUGUUAAUGAAGAAGCAAAACAUGCCAGAUACAAAGGUGAUUGAUUUUUUUAACUAUAUACGCACUUCAGAUUUUAGAGGUGUGUCUAAUUUUCAAAAUGUAUAUGUUUGCAGUCACAGAAUAAUAAAGUUUCAUCUGGCAAACUUUCAUGUGAACAGGUGCCUGUGAAAGAGGAGCCACAUGACAGCACUGGGACUACAUUAAACAAAGAUAAGCGUCAAGACAAAAUAUCAUCGUCAUCACGUGAGCUCCGCAGUGGCACUAAAAGGAGACUGAGAUUUGUUGUAAUAUCAAACGAGUCAGAGGAUGAAUGCAUUGAGACCAAUAUGCCUCAACAAAAGGAAAAAGGUGUUUGCGGGAACAAGGAACAUGUUAAAGCAGAAGCCAAAAAUACAAUGGUUGAAAAUGAAGAUGAAGUAUCGAAAUCGAAGGCCAGGAGAAAAAGGAUGUUAUCAAGAUAAUUAGUGGAUCAGUAGCUUAUCAAAUAAAUAGUGAGACUGUCUAUUUGUAUCGACCAAGAUAAGUAGAGUAUUUGAUUGACAUCGACUAUGAUAAGGAUACUUAUUAGAUUAAGGGUGUGAAUGUUACCAAUGUUCUUAGUCUAUAACAGAUCGAUAACUUUCUUCAUGUAGUUUCCUUAUGCACAUGCUAUUUUAGGCAAAUCUUUACGAGGUCAGCAUAAUAGACAAGAACAUACUACAAGACCAGAGUUUCACACAUUAGGAUUUACUUCACAAUUUGAAGAAACUAUACUUCGCCAGAACAACAGAGAGGAACAUACCUUGCUUCAUCUGUAACUUAAUAGCAGGAUUUGAUAUAAGCAAAUCCAUGGCGUCUUGCUAGCACAAGUGAGCUGCUCAACAAACCUAUAACAAAAUUAAUAUCCAAGGUGAACAAACUUUCUCUUCAUAAGGCCCUUUUUAAGGGAAAAGGCAUCAUUUCUUGCAAAUAACAAAUUAAAAAUACUAUGGAGUACAAUACUACUAUGGAUAAAGUAUAAGAAAUAAUCCUCGGUUGGCACUUACAGUUAGUGGUAGCCUGACAGCAAGAACAAUGAGAAGGCUAGCAUCUCAUGGUCGUCGGCUGCUAUUUGUAUUCUCUAGAUGUCAGAUCUAAUAACUCACUCAGUACAUGACUCGGUGAUUUCCCUCGCAGCCUCCUCCACUGGGCCAAACUACAACACCUCUGCCAUGGACCUCUAGCCGUACGCCAAGAAGAGGUCAUCAUCUUGGCCGAAACCCUUGAGAACGCUCCGCCGGACUCCACGAGGUCGUCGAGAAUCCACAUCCUUGAGAAUGCGACGGACGCGUCCGCGCACUCUGCUCAACGGUAAACUGUGCCAGUACCUACACGAAGAGAAAUGGGAAGGAAUGAAUCAGCCGUGAUGGUUUGAGAAUCAAUUUGGUGAUGGCAAGCAGCGAGAUCUUAAUCAGCCGGCUAAUGGAAAAAGUGGUGUGUGCGGAUGGAUAAGGAUGCUGGAGGGGAACGACUGAGCUGAAAGUUUUUUUAUUUGUAUAUAUAAAGGAGGGGAGUUGUAAGAAGAUGAUGAUAACUUGUACGGGUUGUUUAUACGUGGUGUUGUCAAAACUGCUGGGCCUGAAUAGGCUUCAUACGUGGGGCAUGUAAAGUUGGGCUUGGAAUUUAUCUAUCUACAGUAUACUUUUCCCAAAAAAAACUAUAGUAUACCGUAAUCGUUAUGAACUCGGUUCCUACUCCGUAUCGAAUAGGCUGAUCUGAGCACACGUUGGUGUGCUACCCUUAUAUAGCUGAACAUACACUUCAAUUAACCAAGGGAUCCUAUCAUCUAGACCUUUGGAUCAUCGAUCCAUCUAAAACUAAACAAGAUUAGUUAGAAUCGACCUAGAUUGAAUCGCUGGAAGAACUUGCACGCGAAUCAGACUUGCCAGACUUCAGAUCAGACGGUACGUGCAAAACUACUACUAUCAGCAAUUCAAAGUAACCUCAUGAAUUUUUUAUUCAUUAUUACAUUGUUUUACACUUAGGCAUAUAAUACUGACUCAAAUAAGCUAUUCUCACACGUCAUGCCUUGGCUCUUCACAUAAGCUCUAUUUUCUUUUAGAAAACAGUACCAGCUUCUGUGAUGAACUAAAAGUGACAUACAGACUGAUAAAAUCAUGGCAGCAAUAGAAAGAUAUGCUCUAAUAAUUUUGUACAUCAUACGAAAUACUUUCCAGGAUCAGUACAGGAUUUGCUUUGCAGCAAAGAUACAAUUGUGACAAUAAUUUAUUAGCAGAAACGUGUGAAGCUUUACAAAUUUUAAAAACCAAGGCAAGAAGACACUAUCAGGUAUAUCAUUCACCUUUUUAUAUCUUCAUGUAAUGACUAAUUUUUUGUACUUCUCUAAAAUAUACAUUUGAAAGAUUGCCCUUUGUAAAUAUUACAAAACCAAAUAAUUUUACGUGUAGUGCUAAAAAUGACUUUGAGAGUACUUCGCCGUAGUAAUUCCCAUGGAGCAAUUGUCGUGCACUGAGAAACAACCACACUGUCACACCAAUAAUGCCAUACGCUGCAGCUCGAACCACGCAACACAACAAUCCUGAAAAGCAUGAUUGAUAAGAAUUAUAGGUUGUUUCUACAUGCAGCCAACAUCUCUUAUUUAGUGCAUACAUUGUUUUGUUUACGACAUUGUGCAUAAAGUACCUUUCAAAUAUUUGAUACUAUAUUGCUAAAAGAAUAUCAAAUGCAGAAAUGAAGGGACAGUAUACGUCAAAAUCAGCAGGCCCACUUGCAAAAGAAGCUAAAGAAGCUAUUAUCAGGAGGAAACAACAACUACAAGAAAAAAGGAGUAAGAGAUGCAGGAAUACACAGGAAACAACCAAUAAAAUAGAAGAAGGUGCUUCACGGAAGAGAAAGGAACAAAUCAAUGAAAUAAGAGAUGUCAAGCGUUCAAGGAGAAAUGGGAGGGACAAUGACCUUCAAAGCAACAUCAUAGAAACAAGCAGCAGCACUACGUCCAGAAGUUAUGAUAGCACGAUAUGGAACUUUGGAAAGCCAACAUAUAGAUGCGAACAUUGCAAUGCAAUACUAUGGUGUGAGGAAAGAUUAAAUUCUCAUAAAGGAACCAAAAAACCUUCUUUCGGAAUUUGCUGUAAACAAGGUAAGAUUGACCUACCAAAGAUAGCAUAUCCUCCACCUUAUCUCGCAGGACUAUUAACAGGUGAAGGAAGUGAUGCAACAAACUUCAAAGAAAACAUCAGGUCAUACAACUCAAUGUUCUCAUUCACAUCAAUGGGAGGAGCUGUUGACAAAGAAAUAAACAAAGGCAAAGGACCAUAUGUUUUUAGACUGCAUGGCCAGAACUACCACCAUAUCGGAAGUCUACUACCUGAAGAAGGUAACAAACCUCGAUUCGCCCAGCUAUACAUCUAUCAGACAGAAAAUGAGGUUCAAAACAGGAUAGAUGCUUCAAGAUGCAAUGAUAAAAAAUCAACGGUGAACACUGCCAUUGUCGAAAAACUACAAAAUAUGCUUGAUGAGAACAACAUCCUCGCGAAAUCUUUCAGAAUGGCAAGAGAUAGAUUCAAAGAAGAAGACUACCACGAUUACACACUUCGGAUACUUGGGAAAAGGAACGGAACACACAACCUUCCAUCUGCAUCGGAAGUUGCAGCAUUGGUUGUAAGAGAUCCAACUGGAGAGAGUGAAGGACGAGACAUCGUUGUCGAGUACAAAAAUAUGGAACCUCACAGAAUAUCAGAAAUCCAUCCAAAGUUCAUGUCGAUGCAAUACCCGAUGUUGUUUCCAUACGGAGAAGACGGCUUCAAGCUUGAAAUACCUUACAAGCGAAGAAAAGAAGGUGACAAAAGCAGGAAAUAUGUAACUAUGCUGGACUACUACGCAUACUACCUACAGCAAAGACCUGACCAAGGAAUGUCACUGCUAACGUCUAGACAUCUAUCGCUGCAAUUUUGGGUAGAUGUUUACACAUGCAUUGAGCAAAACAGACUAAACUGGAUCAGGAAUAAUCAAGGGAAGUUACGAACUGAACUUUAUAGUGGACUGCAAGACGCGAUUGAGCGAGGGGACACCAGAACAGAGCAGGUUGGAAAGAUGAUAAUUGUACCUUCAUCUUUUACAGGAGGCAGAAGAUACAAGGCACAGAACUUGCAAGACGCUUUUGCAAUAUGCCGUUGGGCUGGAUAUCCAGACCUGUUUAUAACAUUCACAUGCAAUGCAAAGUGGCCCGAGAUCCAAUACAUGCUAGAUGAAGCAGGAGGAGGCCUAAUCCAGCCGACCGGCCAGAUAUUGUUGAUCGAGUAUUCAUGAUAAAACUGAAGGAGUUGAUGAGAGACAUCGUUGUGAAGAAACACUUUGGAGAAACGAUAGCAAGUAAGAUCAGUCGACUACUCAUCGCAACUAAUAGCAUCUAAAUUUUUAAUAGUUUUAGCACACUAUAGCCUUUGUCUAUUUAAUAAAAUGCUUCUGAAAUGUAACAAAACCAAACUAUGUAUUCAAUCAAUGCAGUUAUCUACGCGAUAGAGUUCCAGAAGAGGGGACUCCCGCAUGCGCACAUACUGGUAUUCCUCAAAGAGAAUUACAAGUGCAAAGGACCAUCAGAAAUUGACCAAAUAAUCAGUGUGGAGAUCCCAGACAAAGAUGUCGAUCCGGACGGAUAUGCAGCUGUUGAGAAUUUCAUGAUGCACGGGCCUUGCGGAGAGGCAAAUACAAAAUCGCCAUGCAUGAUGGAGAACAGAUGUAGUAAACACUUCCCAAAAGGAUACAAUGUCGAUAGCACAAUCGAUGAGGAUGGCUUUCCAGUAUAUAGAAGGCGAGACAAUGGAAGGAAGAUUAAAAAGGGAGGAGCAAUGCUCGACAACAGAUUUGUCGUGCCAUACAACAGAAACCUUUUGGUCAAAUUCCAAGCUCACAUAAAUGUCGAGUGGUGCAACAGGUCCAGGUCAAUCAAGUACCUAUUUAAGUACAUCCAUAAAGACGACGACCAAGUAACAGCCUUACUAAAGGAAAGGGAUGCGGCAAACGAUUAUGAUGAAAUCAGGAAAUACCUAGAGAUGAGAUACAUAUCAACAACCGAAGCAUGCUGGCGGAUAUUCCAGUUUGAUCUUCACCAUCGUGAUCCACCCGUCGAGAGACUGCCAUUCCACAUUGAAAAUGAGCAACAAGUCAUUUUUCCGGACUCGACUGACAUCGAGAAGAUAGUAAGAAGACCAGGAUCCACAAGUACAAAGUUCACUGAGUGGAUGGAGGCAAACAAAAUACAUGAGGUGGGAAAAGAAUUAACCUAUGCAGAAUUCCCAUCAAAAUUUGUAUGGAAAAGUGAAAGCAAAACUUGGGAGGAGCGGAAAAGGGGCUUUGCGAUUGGAAGAAUCUACUAUGCACACCCUGCAAGUGGCGACCGGUAUUAUAUGAGAAUGCUUCUAAACACCAAGAAAGGAUGCACAUCAUUUGAGGAUAUUAGAACAGUUAAUGGAGUUGUUCACCCAACAUACAAAUCAGCAUGCCAAGCGCUUGGAUUUCUUGAUGACGAUGCUGAGUGGAUUGAAUGCAUCAAUGAAGCAUCAAGCUGGGGAUCAGGGACACAGUUACGACAACUAUUCACCACAAUUUUAUGCCAUUGUGAGGUGACCAGCCCAAAGAUGUUGUGGGAUUCAACAUGGGAGGCACUGUCUGAAGAUAUCCAGUACAAAAGAAGAAUUAUCCUAAACUUUCCUACGCUGCAGCUUACUGAUUCACAGAAAAAAGCAUAUGCUUUGAUUGAGAUAGAGAAACUAAUGAGGCAAGCAGGAAAGACACUAAAGGACUAUUCAGACAUAGAACUACCAAAUGCUAUAGAACUUGAACAACUUGGAAACAGGAUGAUAAACGAAGAACUCAGCUAUGACAUGGAGGCACUAAAGAGUGAGCACCAAAUAAUAAUAAACAAUCUUAACCACGACCAGAAAAUGGCUUUUGAUGCAAUAAUGGAAUCAGCUGAGAGAGGACUUGGAAAACAGAUAUUUGUAGAAGGCUAUGGUGGCACAGGGAAAACCUAUCUAUGGAAAGCAAUUACAACGAAGCUACAAUCAGAGGGAAAGAUAGUGCUUGCGGUAGCAUCAUCUGGCAUUGCAGCUUUGCUGCUCCAAGGUGGAAGAACAGCGCACUCAAGAUUCCACAUUCCAAUAAAUAUCACAGAAGAAUCAACAUGUGAAAUAAAACAAGGCUCACAUUUGGCUGAACUGGUAAAGAAGACCUCACUGAUACUGUGGGACGAGGCUCCUAUGGCAAACAAAAACUGCUUUGAGGCACUAGACAAAAGCCUUAGGGAUAUUCUAAGGUUCACAAACCAAAAUAGUGACGAAAGGCCAUUUGGUGGUAUGACAGUUGUGCUAGGAGGCGACUUCAGACAAAUACUUCCAGUGAUAACAAAGGGAAAGAGAGAGCACAUAGUAAAUGCCUCAAUCAAAAGGUCAUACCUAUGGAAGGACUUUCAAAUAUUUAGACUAACUGAAAACAUGCGGCUGAAGUGCCUGUCAGAAGAUCCAAUACAAAGGCAAAAUGUGGCUGAAUUUGCAGAAUGGAUAUUACAAAUUGGCGAUGGAAAAAAAACAAACGAUGAUGGAGAUGAUUGGGUAAGAAUACCUAAAGACAUAAUUCUACAUAAAGGAGAAGACCCCAAAGAAGAGAUAGUCAAAAGCACGUACCCAAACUUGCAACAAAACUAUCGUGACCGUGAAUUUCUCGAAGAAAGAGCAAUACUAUGCCCAAGGAAUGAAACAGUUGAGAAGAUAAAUGACUACAUAAUGAGCCAAAUACAAGGUGAAGAGGUGACAUACCUAAGCUUGGACACUAUAUGCAAGGCAACAAUGAAGUACAACACAAUGGAGAAUAUGUGUCCAACGGAGUUCCUUAACAAGAUGACCUUCCCAGGAAUUCCAAACCACGAGCUUAAACUGAAGGUAGGUUUGCCGGUGAUGCUCCUACGAAACAUCAAUCAAGCGGCAGGUUUAUGCAAUGGCACAAGAAUGACUAUCACACAGCUGGAAACAGGUACAUUGAAGCACAAAUAAUCACAGGAACACACGUUGGUGACAAGGUAUACAUACCUAAAAUCAUUAUGUCACCAAGCGACUCGAAGUGGCCCUUCGUGCUGAAAAGAAGGCAAUAUCCUCUAUCAGUUUGUUUUGCAAUGACGAUAAAUAAAAGUCAAGGUCAAUCCCUAAACAAGGUGGGCCUAUAUUUGCCUAAGCAAGUCUUCUGCCAUGGACAACUAUAUGUGGCAUUAUCAAGAGUCACAAACAGAGAAGGAUUAAAGGUGCUGAUCGACGACAAUGAGUGCCCAAGCGAAGAUAGCGCAAAGAAUAUAGUAUACAAAGAGAUCUUCUAAUUCUUUGUUAUUCAAACAAAUGCAUACGAGGGCCAAAUAAUAAUGAUUAUAAACAAUACAAUGUAUGGUUCAAAAGCGUGACAUCCAUAUGUUUGAUAUAUGGUCGGAAACACUGUAUACAAAAAGAUGUUAUAGAUUGGAUUUCUUAUUAAUUCGUAAGCAACAAAUAAGAACAUGACAAUGCAUAGUACUAUUGCCAUACACUUAUUUCAUGCAUAGAGAGUGUGUACAUGUAGCCUACUUUCCACAUGGCCAAAAGUUUUAAAAUCUUAUUACAAAUUAAGAAUAAUAACCACUCUGAUAAACAUGAUUCUCAGAAAUCUCAUUAGACGACAAGAUUUUAUAAGAUUUUAUUAGAUUGCAUUUGUGUGUGUUCAGCAUAUAGCACUGCCUCUACGUGGUAAUUAAGACGCAACGUAAAUCACUGAACUUGAAAACUUAACCUGCAGCUACACGAAUACAUGUCUCACAUUAAGCUCAUGUUUUGCUACAUAGCUCAGUGAAAGUGCAUGUAAACCUCCUUUUUUUACUGUCAAACAAUAAUUAGAUGCAAGGGUCUCUUGCCAAGUUUAGUUAGACUCUAUUCAAGCAGAUCCAUAUGUUUGCUUUACUGUGUUCUCUACUGCAGAAUUCAGAGAACAAGUAUAAUUGCACUUCUCCGCACAGAAAGUUAUGGUAUGAUUUCUGAUUUCACACAAAAAGUUGUUUCGCAAUGGAAAGAUAAAAUCUUAUCUGUUUUCUACAUCAUUCAACUUUACAAAAACUUAUAUGGUUGCAAUAUAACUUAUAUUUGGUAGAAGUACGGACAGCAGGAGGGCGACACCUGAUACGCACCACAUGUCCAGGUCUCGGCAAAAAAUGGCCACCAGCAUGAUAUCCUCCAAGCUUUGGCCAUGGAUGGGCAAGCGAAUUAAUCUGAUACGCCAUAUUCACUACAGAUUGGGUACAUCAUCUCCCAAUGGACGAGCAAGAAACUCAAAUUUGGGCCAACGGCCUCCAUUUCUUUUUUCCCUUAAGGACGAAGGAAAGAAGGAACUGUGUUUUCCCCCUGUACUAAAAACUAAGAAGGAGAGGCGUACUUCCAUUCAGAAAAAAAUUGGUUAAUGAAAUUAUGAUGAACAUUAUUCAAAGCAAGAGGCGAGUGGGAGAGCACAAAGGGAUUCAUACCUGUGAGCACAUCCGCAGCCUAAGACGAUAGGAACCACACACAGAAGAUGGCCCCUGAACCCAACGCCACAUCUAAAUGUCCCAGCGCCAAUGGACUGCAUAGCCAAAAGUGAGAUGUCGCAUCGCUGGUGAACCACGC
rnacentral:lncRNA from 1 species